UACAGAGGGUGCGAGCGUUAAUCGGAAUUACUGGGCGUAAAGCGUGCGUAGACGGCUAUCUAAGUCGGGUGUGAAAGCCCCGGGCUCAACCUGGGAAUUGCAUUCGAGACUGAAUAGCUAGGGUACGGUAGAGGGAAGCGGAAUUUCCGGUGUAGCGGUGAAAUGCGUAGAUAAUCGGAAGGAACAUCAGUGGCGAAAGCGGCUUCCUGGACC
rnacentral:rRNA from 1 species